AAUUUUCUGCAAUGGGCGCAAGCCUGACAGAGCAAUACCGCGUCAGGGAAGAAAGCCCACAGGGUUGUGAACCUCUUUUAUCAAGGAAGAAGUUCUGACGUUACCUGAUGAAUAAGCAUAGGCUAAGUCCGUACCAGCAGCCGCGGUAAGACGGGGGAUGCAAGGGUUAUCCGGAAUCACUGGGCGUGAAGGGAUUGUCGGUGGUUUAGUAAGUGUAUUGUUAAAGCUUGAAGCUUAACUUCAAAAAUCUGAUGGAAACUUCUAGACUUGAGGAUAGUAGGGGUAAAGGGAAUUUCCAGGGGAGCGGGGAAAUGCGUAGAGAUUGGAAGGACCGCCGAUGGCUAAGGCACUGUAGUGAACUAUCUCUGACAGUACGAGACAAAAGAUAGGGUAGGGAAUGGGAUUAGAUACCCCAGUAGUCCUACCUGUA
rnacentral:rRNA from 1 species